rnacentral:rRNA from 1 species
AACGAACGCUGGCGGCAGGCUUAACACAUGCAAGUCGAGCGCGUAGCAAUACGAGCGGCAGACGGGUGAGUAACGCGUGGGAAUCUACCGAGCCCUAAGGAAUAGCUCCGGGAAACUGGAAUUAAUACCCUAUAAGCCCUUUGGGGGAAAGAUUUAUCGGGGUUGGAUGAUCCCGGGUUGGAUUAGCUAGUUGGUGGGGUAAAGGCCUACCAAGGGGAGGAUCCAUAGCUGGUCUGAGUGGAUGAUCAGCCACGCUGGGACUGACACACGGCCCAGACUCGUACGAGAUGCAGCAGUGGGGAAUAUUGGACAACGGGCGAAAGCCUGAUCCAGCCAUGCCGAGUGAGUGAUGAAGGCCUUAGGGUUGUAAAGCUCUUUCAGUAGGGAAGAUAAUGACGGUACCUACAGAAGAAGCCCCGGCUAACUUCGUGCCAGCCGCCGCCGUAACAC